UACGAAGGGGGCUAGCGUUGCUCGGAAUCACUGGGCGUAAAGGGCGCGUAGGCGGCGUUUUUAAGUCGGGGGUGAAAGCCUGUGGCUCAACCACAGAAUGGCCUUCGAUACUGGGACGCUUGAGUAUGGUAGAGGUUGGUGGAACUGCGAGUGUAGAGGUGAAAUUCGUAGAUAUUCGCAAGAACACCGGUGGCGAAGGCGGCUAACUGGCCCAUUACUGACGCUGAGGCUCGAAAGCGUGGGGAGCAAACAGG
rnacentral:rRNA from 1 species